rnacentral:ncRNA from 2 species
ACUAAAAUUCUACCUGUUGGUGCUCGCGACGUGGUUCACAUGGCGCAGUUCAACGGGAAGCAGGAGGGUGAGCCAAAUUGGCAAGCCUAACCUGCGCUGCCCCCGCAACGGUAAGUGGACGCGCCGCAAGGCGCCGCUUCCAUCUCAGCCACUGAGCGUUUUGAACACGCGCUUGGGAAGGCGAUGGAGGUUGAUUCCACCAGCCCGGAUACCGGCCAACACGGUGGUUGCACG